rnacentral:lncRNA from 1 species
AGGGGGUGAAGGGAAUUCCACAUUAAAGAUCUAAGAGGAUCCUCAGCCAAAAUGUCAUUUUAACAUGUUUUUAAAUUUAGCCCUCACCAUAGUGAGUUUCGCUAUGACACAGGCAUACAUAUGUAACUGCUCUUUGCUCUUAUGCAGCUUCUCUUUCUUCUCCCUGGUCUUCUUUCCUCUUCUGCUUUCAUAUGAAAUACUGAAAUGUACUUCUAAUUCUAUGGAGAGAGCCAUUGGGGUUAAGAGGAAACAGAAAUGGUUUUCGGAGGUAGCCUGCUGGGGAACAGACCUGCUCUGGGUGUGUGUAUGUCGGGCGUCGGGGAGAGAGCUGAGGCAGGGGGCUGACGUCCCUGUCUCAGCUCAUUCUGCUUCGAUUCUGAGGCGGCCCAACUGCUCCCUCCCUUCCAGCCCACCUUUCUACCUCUCUCACGGUUUCCCUUUCUGCUUCUCCGUCUGUGCCUCCUGCAACCAGAGAGACCAAUCAACAAGAGGACCUGGACGAGUCAGACCCUGUGUGGGAAGAUUGGAGAAAAGAAGGAAGGCAUAUAGAAGCAGAGUUGAGUGAAUCUAGCAUGUCAACUUGUCUCUAUGAACUGAAGAGUCAGGAAAAAUCCCCCUUCAAUGUCAAUGCAAAAGUAUCUGAAGACUUUAAAAUACCGGGCACACCAAAGCCAUUGGAAGAGGAAGAGGCAAACAACAAAAACCCCACCACCUGACAGUUCUGGUGAUGACGUGGACCAGCCAGGGCUCAAGUAUCUACUAAUGGAAGGCUAAGCAGGUGCAGCACCCUGGAGGACUGUUUGGUACUUUCUGCUGAACCUAAACAAAUGAAUACCCCAUCACCCAACAGUUUCUCUCCUACCUCAAACCCAAGGGAAAUGAACACAUGUGUGUUCCUGAUGCAUGCAAGAGUGCUCCAAGCAGCACUAUCUGUAAUGGUUCCCAACUAGAGACUGCUCAAAUGUCUAUUAUUGGAAGACUGGAUAAAGAUUGCAGUGUAGGUCAUAAUGAGUAAAUUGUGACAAACUACACUAUAGAAGAAUCUGAAUCUCACAAGCCAAAUACUGAACCUGGACACACACACACACACACA